GGGUUGUGAGGUUAAGCGACUAAGCGUACACGGUGGAUGCCCUGGCAGUCAGAGGCGAUGAAGGACGUGCUAAUCUGCGAUAAGCGCCGGUAAGGUGAUAUGAACCGUUAUAACCGGCGAUUUCCGAAUGGGGAAACCCAGUGUGACUCGUCACACUAUCAUUAACUGAAUCCAUAGGUUAAUGAGGCGAACCGGGGGAACUGAAACAUCUAAGUACCCCGAGGAAAAGAAAUCAACCGAGAUUCCCCCAGUAGCGGCGAGCGAACGGGGAGGAGCCCAGAGCCUGAAUCAGCAUGUGUGUUAGUGGAAGCGUCUGGAAAGGCGCGCGAUACAGGGUGACAGCCCCGUACACAAAAGCGCAUGUGCUGUGAGCUCGAUGAGUAGGGCGGGACACGUGGUAUCCUGUCUGAAUAUGGGGGGACCAUCCUCCAAGGCUAAAUACUCCUGACUGACCGAUAGUGAACCAGUACCGUGAGGGAAAGGCGAAAAGAACCCCGGCGAGGGGAGUGAAAAAGAACCUGAAACCGUGUACGUACAAGCAGUGGGAGCACCCUUCGGGGUGUGACUGCGUACCUUUUGUAUAAUGGGUCAGCGACUUAUAUUCUGUAGCAAGGUUAACCGAAUAGGGGAGCCGGAGGGAAACCGAGUCUUAAUUGGGCGUUAAGUUGCAGGGUAUAGACCCGAAACCCGGUGAUCUAGCCAUGGGCAGGUUGAAGGUUGGGUAACACUAACUGGAGGACCGAACCGACUAAUGUUGAAAAAUUAGCGGAUGACCUGUGGCUGGGGGUGAAAGGCCAAUCAAACCGGGAGAUAGCUGGUUCUCCCCGAAAGCUAUUUAGGUAGCGCCUCGUGAAUUCAUCUCCGGGGGUAGAGCACUGUUUCGGCUAGGGGGCCAUCCCGGCUUACCAACCCGAUGCAAACUGCGAAUACCGGAGAAUGUUAUCACGGGAGACACACGGCGGGUGCUAACGUCCGUCGUGAAGAGGGAAACAACCCAGACCGCCAGCUAAGGUCCCAAAGUCAUGGUUAAGUGGGAAACGAUGUGGGAAGGCCCAGACAGCCAGGAUGUUGGCUUAGAAGCAGCCAUCAUUUAAAGAAAGCGUAAUAGCUCACUGGUCGAGUCGGCCUGCGCGGAAGAUGUAACGGGGCUAAACCAUGCACCGAAGCUGCGGCAGCGACACUGUGUGUUGUUGGGUAGGGGAGCGUUCUGUAAGCCUGCGAAGGUGGCCUGUGAGGGUUGCUGGAGGUAUCAGAAGUGCGAAUGCUGACAUAAGUAACGAUAAAGCGGGUGAAAAGCCCGCUCGCCGGAAGACCAAGGGUUCCUGUCCAACGUUAAUCGGGGCAGGGUGAGUCGACCCCUAAGGCGAGGCCGAAAGGCGUAGUCGAUGGGAAACGGGUUAAUAUUCCCGUACUUGGUGUUACUGCGAAGGGGGGACGGAGAAGGCUAUGUUGGCCGGGCGACGGUUGUCCCGGUUUAAGCGUGUAGGUGUGUGUUCCAGGUAAAUCCGGUUCACUUUAACACUGAGGCGUGACGACGAGGCACUACGGUGCUGAAGCAACAAAUGCCCUGCUUCCAGGAAAAGCCUCUAAGCAUCAGGUAACAUCAAAUCGUACCCCAAACCGACACAGGUGGUCAGGUAGAGAAUACCAAGGCGCUUGAGAGAACUCGGGUGAAGGAACUAGGCAAAAUGGUGCCGUAACUUCGGGAGAAGGCACGCUGACAUGUAGGUGAAGUGAUUUACUCAUGGAGCUGAAGUCAGUCGAAGAUACCAGCUGGCUGCAACUGUUUAUUAAAAACACAGCACUGUGCAAACACGAAAGUGGACGUAUACGGUGUGACGCCUGCCCGGUGCCGGAAGGUUAAUUGAUGGGGUCAGCGCAAGCGAAGCUCCUGAUCGAAGCCCCGGUAAACGGCGGCCGUAACUAUAACGGUCCUAAGGUAGCGAAAUUCCUUGUCGGGUAAGUUCCGACCUGCACGAAUGGCGUAAUGAUGGCCAGGCUGUCUCCACCCGAGACUCAGUGAAAUUGAACUCGCUGUGAAGAUGCAGUGUACCCGCGGCAAGACGGAAAGACCCCGUGAACCUUUACUAUAGCUUGACACUGAACAUUGAGCCUUGAUGUGUAGGAUAGGUGGGAGGCUUUGAAGCGUGGACGCCAGUCUGCAUGGAGCCGACCUUGAAAUACCACCCUUUAAUGUUUGAUGUUCUAACGUGGACCCGUAAUCCGGGUUGCGGACAGUGUCUGGUGGGUAGUUUGACUGGGGCGGUCUCCUCCUAAAGAGUAACGGAGGAGCACGAAGGUUGGCUAAUCCUGGUCGGACAUCAGGAGGUUAGUGCAAUGGCAUAAGCCAGCUUGACUGCGAGCGUGACGGCGCGAGCAGGUGCGAAAGCAGGUCAUAGUGAUCCGGUGGUUCUGAAUGGAAGGGCCAUCGCUCAACGGAUAAAAGGUACUCCGGGGAUAACAGGCUGAUACCGCCCAAGAGUUCAUAUCGACGGCGGUGUUUGGCACCUCGAUGUCGGCUCAUCACAUCCUGGGGCUGAAGUAGGUCCCAAGGGUAUGGCUGUUCGCCAUUUAAAGUGGUACGCGAGCUGGGUUUAGAACGUCGUGAGACAGUUCGGUCCCUAUCUGCCGUGGGCGCUGGAGAACUGAGGGGGGCUGCUCCUAGUACGAGAGGACCGGAGUGGACGCAUCACUGGUGUUCGGGUUGUCAUGCCAAUGGCACUGCCCGGUAGCUAAAUGCGGAAGAGAUAAGUGCUGAAAGCAUCUAAGCACGAAACUUGCCCCGAGAUGAGUUCUCCCUGAGACUUAGAGUCUCCUGAAGGAACGUUGAAGACGACGACGUUGAUAGGCCGGGUGUGUAAGCGCAGCGAUGCGUUGAGCUAACCGGUACUAAUGAACCGUGAGGCUUAACCUUACAACGCCGAAG
rnacentral:rRNA from 1 species